rnacentral:rRNA from 1 species
CACGUAGGGCGCAAGCGUUGUCCGGAAUUAUUGGGCGUAAAGAGCUCGUAGGCGGUCUGUUGCGUCCGCUGUGAAAACCCGGGGCUUAACCCUGGGCUGGCAGUGGAUACGGACAGACUAGAGGUAGGUAGGGGAGAAUGGAAUUCCCGGUGUAGCGGUGAAAUGCGCAGAUAUCGGGAGGAGCACCGGUGGCGAAGGCGGUUCUCUGGGCCUUACCUGACGCUGAGGAGCGAAAGCGUGGGGAGCGAACAGG